UACAGAGGUGGCAAGCGUUGUUCGGAAUUACUGGGCGUAAAGGGCUCGUAGGCGGCCCGUCAAGUCCCGUGUGAAAGCCCCCGGCUCAACCGGGGAACUGCACGGGAAACUAGCAGGCUUGAGUUCGGGAGAGGGAAGCGGAAUUUCGGGUGUAGCGGUGAAAUGCGCAGAUAUCCGAAGGAACACCGGUGGCGAAGGCGGCUUCCUGGACCGGCACUGACGCUGAGGCGCGAAAGCUAUGGGAGCAAACGGG
rnacentral:rRNA from 1 species